GUUUCCUAGCCUCCAGAGAUCAACCGGAAAGCCAGGCUGCCCCCUGCUGUGCUCCAGUCCUGGCUGCUCAAGCCUUCCUGCUGGGUUCUGAAGGAAGUCUGUGAAAGCCAGGCCACUUUCUGGCAGGUGAACUCUAAGCCUUUGAGCUUUAAAGUUGGCUGUGCCUCACACGGUGCCAGCCUCAGCCAUGCCCAUCCUCUCAUCCCUGCCCCGAUGAGACCCGGGAUGAAGGGUUUGAGGAGACGGGUCUGGACCACCAAGUGAGAGGUCACUGUCUGGUUCCCAGCCACAGACAACCACUCCUGGGGUGUCUCCUGGAAGGGUGAGUUGGGGGUUGGGAAGGAGGAAUUGGCCCAGCAGACAUAUCCUAGGAGGGGCAUGUGGCAGUCCUCUAACUUGCAAGUCCAGAGCCACCGAGCCAGGCCCUUCUCUGCUGUCCUGCACCGUGGCCUUUGUGACCUCUCAGGGAGGGGCCCUGGCAUCACCCAGAGAUGGCUGUAAGGUGCUCUCACUCACUCAGGGCCUCGGGCCUCGCUCAGAUGUGGGGACCUUCCCAGGGACACGGGCAGCGGAUGCUGUGGGGUCGGGCAGGCGGUCAGCUCCCCGCAUGCGCCUGCACCCUGAAGCAGAACAGGGCCCCUGGCCUCGGAGAGCCCCCUGGUCUCCAUGUCCCUGAAGCGCGGCGGGGGGAGCGUUCCACAGGCGCAGCCUUUCCGGAAAGGAGCGCCUCCGACCGUGCGGCAGGUCUGCAGCCCCUGGCGCAGCCAGCGUUCGCCUUCUGGAAGCGCCGGAGGCUGGAAGAGCGAGGGCUCUGCUCGCCAAGCUGCUCUCCGCAGCGUUGCUGUCUGCUGUCGAGGAAGGACGUCAGCCUGACGGUCCCCAGCCUUUUCCUCCCCAAGAUGCGUGUUCUAACUACUCCCAUCUGACAGAUGAGAAACCCAGGACUUAGAGAGGGAAAGUGGCUCAUCCAAGCCCACCUUCAGAGUCGAUGGAGGAACUGAGAUGUAAGCCUGGGUCUGUCUGAGUCCAGGAAUCAUGAGAGGAAAGGGAAUUCGGCGUUGAUUCCUCGCCUGGUUUCAGCACUCCCUGCUUCAUCCGCUGUCCACUGCAAUUCAUUCUCUGCAAAGCAACUGGAAGUCAGAUCUGUGCUGCUGCUACAGCCCGCCCACCCUGCCCAGGGCCUCGGGGUGCCCCUUACACUAAAUACUCGUGCUGUGUGCAGCCUGACACUGCGAGCCCUCCGUGGCAUCACUUCCCUCCCCAUUCAUGCUUCCUCCUCCC
rnacentral:lncRNA from 1 species